UUUUAAAUCAUCAUUUUACUCGACCAACAGAAGCUACAGAGUCUUACAGGGAGUUUAACAAGUUUACAGUAGUUUUCCCAGUCAACAGAGUGUGGACCACGCGCUGAGGAAAAGAUGGAGAGAGAAUCUCAAACUCAAUCUCCACCACCCCUUUUGAAACUUCACUCGACCUCUGAAACCUAAGCCGCGCUCGACCUCGCUGAAAUCACUCGACCGCCGCCUGAAAGAAUUCUCUGCCGUCUCAGACGAGUUCCACGACUCACUCGACUACCGAUUCCGGUUCAACCUGAAUCACUCGACCGCUACGUAACCGACUCUCCAAUCAUUCUACUCGACCACGAAUCGCCAUCUCUCACCAAAGAGUUACUCUGACUCAAUUUCACUCGAGCUCCUCACUUCGACGUUCGCCAUCACCUUGUUCUCGCCACACUCGACCGUUUCUGCGCCGCCGCAGUCGAGUCCUUUACUCGACCUCUGAAGAUCUACUCGACUACAUCCAGCAGACUCGACCCCCGAUUUUUGGUUUUGUUCCUCCCAAUUCUGGCUCACCGAUAAAGCACUAGACCUUCUAAACUCACCAGCUGUACUGAUUUCAUCAAUCUCACUCGACCCCGUAAGAUUUACUCGACCACAGGUUUCUUUUCAGCUUGAUUCACUUAAGCAGAACUCUACGAGAGCCCAGUUUACUCAAAUACAAGACAUACUCGACCAAUUUGGUUCAUUCCAUUGCUUGUUGAUAACAAUUUU
rnacentral:sRNA from 1 species